rnacentral:rRNA from 1 species
GACGAACGCUGGCGGCGUGCUUAAUACAUGCAAGUCAACUUGACUUUAGAUAGCAAUAUCGAAAAGUAGGGUGGCGCACGGGUGCGUAACGCGUAGGUAAUCUGCCCUGAGGUCUGACAUAACCCGUCGAAAGGCGGGCUAACAUCAGAUGAUAUAUAAUCACGACAUCGUGGAAAUAUCAAAUCUUCGGAGCCUUGGGAUGAGCCUGCGUCUGAUUAGGUAGUUGGCGGAGUAAUAGCCCACCAAGCCUACGAUCAGUAGCUGGUCUGAGAGGAUGAUCAGCCACACUGGAACUGAGACACGGUCCAGACUCCUACGGGAGGCAGCAGUAAGGAAUAUUGCUCAAUGGGGGAAGCCCUGAAGCAGCAACGCCGCGUGAAGGAUGAAAUACUUUUGUAUGUAAACUUCUGUAAGAUGGGAAAAAUAUUACUCCUCGGGGAGAAAUUGAUUGUACCAUCAGAGUAAGCCCCGGCUAACUACGUGCCAGCA